UGCAAGGGGGCGCAGUUGGUAGCACUGUUGCCCUUGCAGCAAGAAGCUCCUGGGUUCGAUUCCCAGCACAGAGUUUGCAU